GAUCAUGGCUCAGGAUGAACGCUAGCUACAGGCUUAACACAUGCAAGUCGAGGGGAAACGACAUCGAAAGCUUGCUUUUGAUGGGCGUCGACCGGCGCACGGGUGAGUAACGCGUAUCCAACCUGCCCACCACUUGGGGAUAACCUUGCGAAAGUAAGACUAAUACCCAAUGACAUCCACGAAGACAUCUGAUGGGAUUAAAGAUUUAAUCGUGAUGGAUGGGGAUGCGU
rnacentral:rRNA from 1 species